AAGUGAGAAUGCCGGUGUGAGUAGCGAAAGACGGGUGAGAAUCCCGUCCACCGAUUGACUAAGGUUUCCAGAGGAAGGCUCGUCCGCUCUGGGUUAGUCGGGUCCUAAGCUGAGGCCGACAGGCGUAGGCGAUGGAUAACAGGUUGAUAUUCCUGUACCACCAUUAUUCGUUUUAAGCGAUGGGGGGACGCAGUAGGAUAGGCGAAGCGUGCUGUUGGAGUGCACGUCCAAGCAGUGAGAUUGAGUGUUAGGCAAAUCCGGCACUCUUAAGAUUGAGCUGUGAUGGGGAGAGGAACUUGUUCCUCGAGUCGUUGAUUUCACACUGCCGAGAAAAGCCUCUAGCUAGAAUAACGGUGCCCGUACCGCAAACCGACACAGGUAGUCAAGAUGAGAAUUCUAAGGUGAGCGAGCGAACUCUCGUUAAGGAACUCGGCAAAAUGACCCCGUAACUUCGGGAGAAGGGGUGCUCUUUGAGGUUCACGCUUCGAAGAGCCGCAGUGAAUAGGCCCAAGCGACUGUUUAUCAAAAACACAGGUCUCUGCUAAACCGUAAGGUGACGUAUAGGGGCUGACGCCUGCCCGGUGCUGGAAGGUUAAGAGGAGUGGUUAGCGCAAGCGAAGCUACGAAUCGAAGCCCCAGUAAACGGCGGCCGUAACUAUAACGGUCCUAAGGUAGCGAAAUUCCUUGUCGGGUAAGUUCCGACCCGCACGAAAGGCGUAACGAUUUGGGCACUGUCUCAACGAGAGACUCGGUGAAAUCAUAGUACCGGUGAAGAUGCCGGUUACCCGCGACAGGACGGAAAGACCCCGUGGAGCUUUACUGUAGCCUGAUAUUGAAAUUCGGUACAGUUUGUACAGGAUAGGUAGGAGCCUUAGAAGCGUGAGCGCUAGCUUACGUGGAGGCAUUGGUGGGAUACUACCCUAAUUGUAUUGGAUUUCUAACCCGCAGCACUUAUCGUGCUGGGAGACAGUGUCAGGCGGGCAGUUUGACUGGGGCGGUCGCCUCCUAAAGAGUAACGGAGGCGCUCAAAGGUUCCCUCAGAAUGGUUGGAAAUCAUUCAUAGAGUGUAAAGGCAUAAGGGAGCUUGACUGCGAGACCUACAAGUCGAGCAGGGUCGAAAGACGGACUUAGUGAUCCGGUGGUUCCGCAUGGAAGGGCCAUCGCUCAACGGAUAAAAGCUACCCCGGGGAUAACAGGCUUAUCUCCCCCAAGAGUUCACAUCGACGGGGAGGUUUGGCACCUCGAUGUCGGCUCAUCGCAUCCUGGGGCUGUAGUCGGUCCCAAGGGUUGGGCUGUUCGCCCAUUAAAGCGGUACGCGAGCUGGGUUCAGAACGUCGUGAGACAGUUCGGUCCCUAUCCGUCGUGGGCGUAGGAAAUUUGAGAGGAGCUGUCCUUAGUACGAGAGGACCGGGAUGGACAUAC
rnacentral:rRNA from 1 species